UACGAAGGGGGCUAGCGUUGUUCGGAAUUACUGGGCGUAAAGCGCGCGUAGGCGGACAUUUAAGUCAGGGGUGAAAUCCCGGGGCUCAACCCCGGAACUGCCUCUGAUACUGGGUGUCUAGAGUUCGGAAGAGGUAAGUGGAAUUGCGAGUGUAGAGGUGAAAUUCGUAGAUAUUCGCAGGAACACCAGUGGCGAAGGCGACUUACUGGUCCGAUACUGACGCUGAGGUGCGAAAGCGUGGGGAGCAAAC
rnacentral:rRNA from 1 species